rnacentral:lncRNA from 1 species
UUUUCCCAUCAGGCUUUGCAGUAGUUUCCACCACAAACAGCAGAACAGCCAUUUUCCCCAUCCCUCCUGUAAGACCGUGCCAGACUCACCUACAGAGAAGGCCCUGUCUCAGACAGGCUCAGAAGAAGAAAAUGACAAGUCCCUUGUCAGAGCACAGUCCAUGAAAGAAGCUCUGUGACUUUUUAAGACCUGUUAAAUUCAUCAUCUAAAUGCACAAAACACCGAAAUAAAAAAAAAUCUAAACCAGGCUUACCUGCUGCCACUCCGAAGGUAAUAAAGAGAGACUGCACAUUAGCUGCAUAGGCGCUCAGCACCCAGCCGAGGGAGUUCACCAGCCCUCCAAUGAUUGCUGUCUGGCGGCACCCACAGGUGUUAAUGAACAAGCCGAUGAAAGGUCCUGCCACAGAACAGGGGAAAAGGCACUGACAAGAGGCUCCUCAUUGUCUCAGAGCCUCACACAUAAAGAACAAAGCAUCACCAGGGACGCUUAAAGGAGCCCAAACCCGGGGCUACCGAGAUGGCUAAGCAGGAAAGGGGCUUGUAGCCAAACCUGUCAACCUGAGUUCAAGCCCGAGACCCACAUGGUAGAAACAGAACAAACUCCUAUGGGUUGUUGACCUGCACAAUGCACCCCUCAAUAAAAUUACAUGAGAUCAUUUUUAAUA